UUUUAGCCCCGAUGGGAACGGCAUCCUUUUGUGACUGGGUUCGGCACAAAAGAUAUAGUGUACAGCGGGAUUAAGC
rnacentral:sRNA from 1 species